GGGAGCCGGGCCCAGCCGCCGCCGCCGCCGCUCCGGGAGCGAGUUGGAAGAAUCCAGGGAUUUCAAGUUUUGAGUAGCAGGCAUCUUACAAGAUUACCACACCUAAACUGAAAAGGGAGAUGCAGCUCUGAGUACCAGACUGGUGUGUGCACUGCAUGUACAUGAAAACGCACGUGUUUUCGUCAUCACGUAGACUUGCUCUGGCAUAUUCCUGAGAGCUUUGCAAUUGAUGAAAAUUAAUUUGAGAACCAGAUGGAGCACCUUUGCAACACAGGAAUCAGUAAUCCAUGGAAAGACACCUGCCAGUAAUGUUCAACUUCCCACAUGGUCUUCACGGGUGAAAAAAGUCUGCAAGAAGAGAAAGAAAAAACACCCUCUGUGCAGGAGAAGCCUAAUAAAUACCUCCACAAUCUAAAUCAAUAGCUGUGAGGGAAACAGAAGAAUCAAGAGGGCAGAGGAAACUGAUUUAGUUCUAGCAGAGGAAUAAUGUAUGGUCUUGGGCACGUUUUGCUUUGGGCUCAGUAGAUGUGAAUGGACAAUAAAUCGUGACCUUCUGCUGAGCAAUGAUGACUGGAAGUAAAUAAGUUGAGGAACUAUGGGACAAGUCUGGGCAUUGAACUGAGCAAACCUCGCCGUCCUUCUUGAGUUAACCAGGUCAUCAAACUUGCAUAUCCCUUCUCCCUCUCCUUUUUCCUCUUUUCACUUCGUGUGAUAUAAAUACUAGCUAAUUGAGCUCAUAAAUGUUAUUCAAAUAAAACGAUUGGAAUACUUCA